rnacentral:rRNA from 1 species
UACGUAGGGUGCAAGCGUUGUCCGGAAUUAUUGGGCGUAAAGAGCGUGUAGGCGGCUCGGUUAGUCCGCUGUGAAAGUCCAGGGCUCAACCCUGGAAUGCCGGUGGAUACUGUCGAGCUAGAGUCCGGAAGGGGCGAGUGGAAUUCCUGGUGUAGCGGUGAAAUGCGCAGAUAUCAGGAGGAACACCAAUGGCGAAGGCAGCUCGCUGGGACGUGACUGACGCUGAGACGCGAAAGCGUGGGGAGCGAACAGG